ensembl:lncRNA
GUGCAGCCUCUGGCUCUGCAGACACAUACUAUUAGAGCAUCUGUUCCUGCAGAUCUUUGACUCUCCAUCAGAGAUCCACGAGAGGGAGCAGCUCACUGUGGAUGUUUUUCCAGCUCAGAUGUGUGUUUGAAGGCUGACUGUGUGUUUUGUCUUCCUUGUCGUCUUCCUGCUGUUUUGUCAGCCUCCACUACUCCAGGUGUGGGAGGGGAACCUGUAUUCGCUCUGAUUGCUCCAGUGGCUGCUAUUUUUGGAAGCACUCUGUCUUUUAUCUCCCCUCUUUUUGUCUCUCACGUUUUUCUUCGGUGCUGCAAAGCGACACUAACCGGAAUCAGCUAUAGAAGAAAGGCAGAGAUAAUUCGUGAUCGAAGUCGCUGCUCUUUUCAUCAAAUCGAGGCUGGAAACCUCCUGGAUGAAUCGAAUGGAUUGUCUUUUGUAUUUCUGGUGCCUGUUGCGUCUAAAAGGUCUGACAACAGCAGAGGAAAGAGCAUUUUGUUCUGCCAGAAGCCCAGUGAUGACUCCGUCCACAGCUCCCACAUGGUGCUGUUCAGCACUCAGUCCCUCGCCAGCCUCCUGUUGCUGGUUCUGACUGCUGUCCUGUCCGGUGGCGUCUACCUGUGGAUCCUCAGAUACGUCUGCAUCGGCUGCUGCCAGCCCGUCCCGGUCGGCAUCGAGUCCGAAGCUCUGACUGGGGUGGUGUGAAGUCGCUAGAGUCCGUCUGACCGAGUUAAAGUCAGGCGGACGUUGAACUUUGUUUACAGGCGAAUCUACAAACUUGUGACCUGGCUUUGUCCACUGCAGAGCUCGGACUUUCAUAUCAGAAACGAUGUUCCUGUCAGGCUGAAAUGAGCGACGUCAUGUUUGCUGAAUAGAAGAUGAAUUUAUUUUCCGGUUAGUAACUGGUACUCACAAAGUGGUAACUUUUGCCCCCUUUGGCUGUGCAGAUCCCACGUUAUUUAGCCUGGAGUUAAUGUUUUGCUUUGUUUUUUCAGUGCUGGAAAAGAACCAAGUUAAUAAAUACAGAAAAAUGUCCGUAUGUUGUUGAUGAGCUGAAGACAGACACAACUAUACAGGUUGUUUCAACAGAAAGUCUGCGUUUGGUCACCAUGAACACCGGUAACAACUAGCUUCUGUGUCAACUAAUGAGUUUUUAAUACAUAAGCUCCAAGUAAACACAUCAGUAAACCCAUUAUCACAUGUACAACACCAGUGA